rnacentral:rRNA from 1 species
GAUGAACGCUGGCGGCGUGCCUAAUACAUGCAAGUCGAGCGAACAGAUGAGGAGCUUGCUCCUCUGACGUUAGCGGCGGACGGGUGAGUAACACGUGGAUAACCUACCUAUAAGACUGGGAUAACUUCGGGAAACCGGAGCUAACACCGUAUAAUAUAUUGAACCGUAUGGUUCAUUAGUGAAAGACGGCUUUGCUGUCACUUAUAGAUGGAUCCGCGCCGCAUUAGCUGGUUGGUAAGGUAACGGCUUACCAAGGCAACGAUGCGUAGCCGACCUGAGAGGGUGAACGGCCACACAGGAGCUGAGCGGCGGUCCAGGCUCCGACGGGAGGCAGCAGUAGGGAAUCUUCCGAGAUGGGCGAAAGCCUGACGGAGCAACGCCGCGUGAGUGAUGAAGGGCUGCGGAUCGUAAAACGCUGUUAUGAGGGAAGAACAAAUGUGUAAGUAACGAUGCACGUCUUGACGGUACCGAAACAGAAAGCCACGGCUAACUACGU